CCCCUCCUCUCACCAAAAUCUGGAAGUUUCCCAGAGACACUGAUUUGGAUGAGAGCAAGCAAUCUGGGCAGGAUUUUCUCUGGUCUUGCUAGCAGGCCCACUGAUUUGGCAGAUGGAAAGAAGGAAGCUUCAUUGGGCAAUCUCUAAAACACAAGGAAACUUAGAUGAAGAGAAAAUCAAGACCUAUAAAAGAGGAGAGACUGUUCCCAAUGGACAUCAAGGAGAAAAGAGGUACCUCUUGAACCCUUAAGUCACACACAAAAGAACAUCUGGAAGAAAAACUCAAGAUCAACUAGAGAUAUGAUCUUUCAUCUCAACAACAUGUGGUCAAGUAACAGAACUUGGCUUCUUACACUAUACUUCUUGCCCCGAGCUAUCUACCUGUGGUAGCACUCAUCAC
rnacentral:lncRNA from 1 species